UUUUUUUUUAAUCUGAUUUGAAGUUGAUAUAGUCCAGACCAAUUUUUUUUUUUGAUUGGAUAGUCCUGACCAAUUUGAAGAAAAUGAUGUAAUGUGGUUUUUUGUAUAAAACCUUUUGUUGAUUUUUUCCUGAUUUGGUUGGUUUGUUUCUUAGGCUGAGUAUGUGAACCUUGAUACACUGUGGGUUACUCAUCCUUAAGUGGAUUUUUCACACGAUAUAUUUAAUUUUCGUAUAUGUUUGUGUGCAUAAUGAUCUGUGUUAGUUUUUGUGUAGCUUGGGAUUCAAACACACUUUUACAUGGAUAGGUCGAUUUCCUGUUUCUUGUGUAGCUUGUGACCCUUCUAAUAUUAUUUGAGUUUAGAGGUGUUCCCGAGGUUUCUUUGCUUUGCUUCCAAGUUUGGUCCUUUUUAUGGAAAGCUGGCUGGUUUGCUUUUCAAGUUGUGUACUUAAAGGUUUUGGUGGCAGAAUUUAUCUUUUCUUACAUUGCAUUUAAGUAUGCAGACAGCUUUGCUUUGUUAUCAAGUAGUGUACCUUAGGCCAAUGUAGAGUAGGAAGACAUUUGAUUCUGGUUGUUGGAUAUUCUACUGGUUUGUGCACAAAUACAGCCAGCGAAUGUAGUUUGAUUUGGUUACUUUUAAUUGAUCUUUUUAGCAUGAUUUUAGCAUAAUUAUUUAGUGCACACAGUGACUCUUGUUUUUAAUUGAUAUUUUAGUAUGAUUUCUGCCCUAAUAUAUGCCGUAAUUGAUUGUUACUUUUAAUUUCAAGAAUUUAGAUGCAGUAAUUGAUUGUUACUUUUUAUUUCAAGGAGUUUCUAUCAUGAUUGAAAUUGUUAGAAAAUGCUUUCUUUAGGGGGUGUGAGGUAAUAGUUUUUGGUUAAAUCAAAGGGUCAUGCUAACCUCAUGAUAUAGUGUCUAAUGCACUAAUUGAGUUUUUGGUGAUGUGAUGAUAUGAUUAUAUAUGAUUUAAUUUGAAUUGGUAUGCGAAGUGCUAGCAUUGAGAAGCAUACACGAAAGUUUAUUUGAUCCAAAUGGACAUUUGAGCAAUUGGAAUAGUGAUGGAGACCCAUGCCUAUCUAACUGGACAGGAGUUGUGUCUUCUAAUCAAACAAUUGAAGAAAACUUUCUACAUGUUGUAGAAUUGUAUGACUUCUAUCUUCCCCACUUGUAUAAAGUUACACCGAUCAUGAAUCUGCAAUUUUAGAUUAUGCGUUGAGGGGUUACAUAAUCAGUGUUGUGAUGGCAGAGAAAUCUGUACCAAGGGCUCCACAAUCAAAUAACUAUGGGUUUGCAUUACAGAUUGAUACUUGCUUAUGGUGUAGAUUGAGAUUGAAAAUGUGGGUUAUUGUCAUUAUAAUUUAAAAGAGUUCACUAAUUGAAUUUCUAUGCAUAUCUUUUGUUUUUAAUAUUUUAAAUUAGUUUUAUUUAUUUUAUUUUUCUUUGCUUUGCUUCCAAGUUUGGUCCUUUUUAUGGAAAGCUGGCUGGUUUGCUUUUCAGGUUCUGUGCUUAAAGCUUUUGGAGGCAAAAUUUGCCUUUUCUUACAUUGCAUUUAAUGACAGGUUCUAACGGAGCCAAAUUGGUGUCGGAAUCGGCUUGAUUGGGACAUAUUUUCUGCAAAUUUUGUAGAAGGGAUUAAUCAAGUGAUGGAUCAGAUUUUCCAGAGCUACCAAAAUCAAAGAACCUGUUCUACAUUCGAAGGGAUUACUGCACAGAGAUAUCAAACCAGAUAAUUUUCUCAUGGGUCUUGGGAAGAAAGCAACUCGGAAAUUUGGCGAUGAUGGAAUGGGAGGCCUUGGCGGAAUGGAAGGAUUGGGAGGAAUGGGAGGACUAGGAGGAAUGGACUUCUCUAAAUUUGCUGGGAUGGGUGGUGAUGCAUUGGAUGAUGUUGACGAAAGUGACAAUGAAGAGAGAACAAAAACUUAACAGGAACAGCGCGUUAUGCAAGUUGCAAUACUCAUAAAGGAAUUGGAAUUGAUCAUGAAGCAGUGGGAGAAGAAUUAUUACAUUACUUCUAUUGCUGGAGUUACUAAUGGGAGCUCUCUUGUGGUGUUGUCAAAAGGCACACAGUAUACACAACAAUCAUACAAAGUAAGUGAGUCUUUCCCCUUCAAAUGGAUAAACAAGAAGUGGAUAGAAGGUUUUCACGUGACUUCAAUGGCAACUGCUGGAAGUCGUUGGGGUGUUGUUAUGUCACGGAAUGCGGGAUUCAGUGAUCAGGUUGUUGAACCUGAUUUUCUCUAUCCUAGCGAAGGAAUCCAUAGACGAUGGGAUAAUGGUUACAGGAUCACAGAAACUGCUGCUACAUGGGAUCAAUAUGCUCUUAUAUUAAGCAAUUGCAUUUUAGCCUUCCUUGGCAGGGUCUGCAAGCUGCCACCAAAAUGCAAAAAUAUGAAAAUUUUUGCAAUAUGAAGUUCUCAACUCGUGCUGAGGUACUUUGCAAGUCAUAUCCCGUGGAGUUUGCGUCUUACUUUCAUUAUUGCCGCUCCUUGUCAUUUGAUCAACGACCAGAUUAUGGAUAUUUGAAGCGCCUGUUUUGAACCUGAUAUCUUUUUUACUAUUGUGUUCAUGGAAUAUCGUGGUAGAAAAGAAUCACGUGGUCCGAAGAGAAAUUAUCGAAGAAAAACUCACAACGCAGAGAGAAAAUGUAACCAUUGUGACGAAACUGCCCCUAUGUAAAAAAUUGAAUUGACGAAACUACCCUAUGUAUGCAUAAACGUUCUCAAAUACAUGUGGGUCAAGUAUAUGUAUAUGCGUAGAAUUACUGUGUUCCAGUAACAUUUCUACAACUUUAGACAAUUUAUUUGCAACGAAAAUUUUACUUCUCAGAUCAA